rnacentral:rRNA from 1 species
CCCUUAGAUGUUCUGGGCCGCACGCGCGCUACACUGAUGCAUUCAACGAGCCUAUCCUUGACCGACAGGUCCGGGUAAUCUUUGAAUCUGCAUCGUGACGGGGAUAGAUUAUUGCAAUUAUUAAUCUUCAACGAGGAAUGCCUAGUAGGCGCAAGUCAUCAGCUUGCGUCGAUUACGUCCCUGCCCUUUGUACACACCGCCCGUCGCUCCUACCGAUUGGGUGUGCUGGUGAAAUGUUCGGAUCGGCCGUUUGUCGCGGUUUCCGCGUCAUGUGGCUGAGAAGUUCAUCAAACCCUCCCACCUAGAGGAAGGAGAAGUCGUAACA